UGUAAAUAACUGUUUGACAAUUGAUAUCCAAAUUUGACCAACUCCAACUGUUAAUUGCUGAAAAACACAUAAAUAUCCUUGCGGUACCUACCAUUUCGCUUGUGAAGGUUUGUCGUUUCAUAGACUAACAGCAACCGAGAAAUAGAGAAUCCAGAGUAAUUUUUCUUGUCACCUGAACGAUAUAAAACAAGUCCCACUGCAGCUGUCAAUUUGAAAAUUUAUCGCUUGCAAUUAUUUAGAUUUUGGAUAUGGGUAGAAAAGUCAAGGGACACGACCACACACACCUCAGACUUCCGGUUGAAAAAAAAAACAUUUGGGUCUGAACCACUUCGAUCUCAAUUUUCAGAAAUUUAAAUAAUACCUGCAGUUAAUUAAAAAUCAAUUAAAGCGCCACCCUCGAAAGAAAUAAAUUAAAUUCUUCAUCAAAGCCUAAAAUUCGAACUUAUUACCGGUAAAACGUAGAUUUACGACAGAGAAGAUGCACCAGGCGGUAAGGUAUGGUAAAUCGGACAGCUGAAGAAGUUAUUGCAUCCCUCCAGUACGAAACAACGUUGUCUACCUUUGCGUCGGUUGUCUUUUGAAAGCCCUACGAAAAGAAUAGAUGACGUUCGAAUACCCGCUGUGCCACAAAGACCCAACAAAUUUUCGGCAGAAUUUUAGUCGCGUUCCUCCACCCUGCUGGGAUGGAAUGCCCGUUGAAGCGUUUCAAAUAUCCCACCUCCCUCGAAUCCGUGAACUAUAAUUACAAAUCU